UUGUUCUGCCGCUGCGCGUACGCUAAAGGCAGCAGCUGUAACGCAGAGCUUGCUAUAACUUGAGAUUUAAAAAUAAUAAUAGUAAAUCGCGUUUGCCGUUCUGUUUCAGAUAAAAGUUUCUGCACUGUACGAUUGCAGCUGCCCUUAAGCCCGGUGCACGGUCCACGCAUGAACUUUGCUCCUUGACGCUCCCGGCUGAAAGCUUUUACCCUCCUCAGUGGCAAAGGGGGCGUCCUGUCACCCAGGCCCUUCUGCACCAGCGGGGAGAGCGCUGUGCUUUCCCGUCUCUCCCCAGAUAUUCCUCCUGGGUUAGCCGCCUCACACCAAAAGGAGCCGUUUUGCACCUGUCAUCUAGAUGGUUAGCGGAGGCAGGGAGCAUAAAAAGAUUUGAACGUUGUGAGCUAGAACUGAAAUCCAAAAUGUUAAUGCCAGAAUCGCCGAUACCCUGAGCUGAGAGGAUGGCUACUACGGAAGAAUGGCAGUAGACCUGCGCGCCUAGAGCUGCAUCGGUUUGCCAUAGCUAACUCUGAUUUUCAGAAGGAUUAUUUGAGAAUGGAUUAGAAAUUUCAGCAACGCUGACUCAUAGUAUUAUACAAGGCACCUUUUCAAGAUGCAAGAGUAUCCUCUCUUAGUUUCAAGCCACAAUUUAAAAAAAAAAAAAAAAGCAAUGCCAUGGAAACAAACCUAAAAUUGUUUUAAAGGACUGGGAAUCUUAAGUUACUACUAGUUGUCCAUGAAGUCUUUUUUAACGUUUCUAUGUUCAGAUGCAGGUCGGUAAGUGACAGAAAACCGCUACAGCCCUCAAGGAAAGAGAUAACAGGCACAUUUCUAGUAGCCGGACCAUGAUACGCUGUGGUCCAUCAUCUCCUUUCGUGUUUCCUAGGCUUUCCACUGGAAGAGUAAAACCACGAAUGGCUGUGGUGACAUGAAGCUAAAGUGACCUGGAAAACCGUGAAAAACCCUUUGCUGCAGAUUGCUCCCUUGGAUGGAUGGACGUGCAAGUCCGGGACCUCUAGGGUUUCAAUGAGUUCCUUGUUGAAGAACAAGGAGAUAAUUUUUGUCCUUUUUAGGACAAAAGGAGCAGAAUUUAUAGAAAGGAGCAGAAUUAAGUCCCCAAAUAAAGAGGGUCCUGAGGGAGAUGUCCGAAAAGCCGCAACCCAUCUUUUGGUUGCCUUAUAUUGCUGUGACAGCUCCAGACACCUGGCUGCCUUGAAAGUGCACAGUAGUGGUGAGGAGACCAUAGCAGGACACAAUAAACAUGUCCAGAAAGCUGCAGGAAAAAAAAAUAUAUAUAAAUUUUGUUUGGGAAAUACCAUGAGCGCUCUCUAAAUAAUUUAACAGUACACACGCAUUCAGCAAUUAGCCACACAGCCUUGCUGUCCUACCUGGGAGAAUUAACUUCAAAAACUUUCCCAGGUGUUUGUUACUGUUGCUAUUUUUCUUUACACAAAGGUUACAAUUGAACAUUGCAGACUCUGAAGUUCUGCCUAGCUGACAACAAAUUGCCACCACCCGGAAAGUUCAGCCAAGCCAGUUGCAAAACAUCUCCAUUAGAGAGGAGAAAAGUUUUCUCCUGCUGACCUCUGGGAGAUGAUGUGCAGCUGGGCAAGUCCUUUGCCUCUGCAAAACUCCUGGAGUGAAGCAGCAGGAGCCUUUUUCUCGGGCACCGCACAAACUCAUCGCUCUCUCCUGCACCGCACCACAACAUCACGUUUCAUAGGACUCCCUCCAUUGUGUAAUUCUUACCAGCAGCAACAGUUUUCCCACAGUUUCUUUUACUUGGAGGAAGCUAAUUCAGUUUUGCUCAGUUUUCCCAGGGCCAAUCUUUUCUGUGCCAAUGAUCAAGAUUUUAGAAACUACUAGAGUCCAAAAAACAAAGAAUUAGGACCAAUCAUUGUGUGUCCCCUUUAGUUUGUCCUGAGCAGCAACCGAGCGACAAGUUUUAGUUUGCUCUGCAAAAGACUUGACCAAUUUUAUCAUAUUCCCAAGUAGCCUAACGUCACCUUUCACAAGAUCUGUAGCAUUAUUUACCACUGAAUGCUUUCAUACAUCCCUUAAGGUGACAUGGGAGAAAGGAACAUGCUUGGGAUAGCAAAAAGCCAUAAUGACAAAGUCCACUGAAAGUGGACACCAACAGGACAUGUCACAUUAGCUUCAGGAGACCAGGAAAGAUUAUGCUUUGUGGCCUAAAAGUCAUGAGAACAGCCUCAUAUGUACUCCACAAAUCACUCUUUCAUUUAUUCUUCCCCACACCAAAAGAGACUUAAGAAAAUUUAAACACACAUGCAAAAUGGCAUUUUGCUAUAAAUGGAAAGAGGUUGUCAAGACCCCCCCCCCCACCUAAAUCAUAGUUUCAACUCAGACUAGCUCAACUUCCACUAUACUUUUCUCUCAUUCUUCCAUUUUCAUUAUUUUCUUACAAAAGGGACAUAAAGUAUCAUUACAAACACACAAGAACAACAACAAAAGGGUGUUUAUCAGUAUUGCAGAGAGAAGGUCAGUUUGCAUGUGUUAAUACACUGGAAACGUUCUGCUUUUGCAUAAUACUGGGGAGUUUCUAUCAACAGCUCAUAUUCUCCAAGUGCUGGCCAAAACGAUUACUUCUCCAGUUCUGUGGGGGGGAAGAAAUCCACUAAAACAUGAAUAUUCAAUAGAUUACUGGCAUAGCAAUCCUUUAGAUAAAAGCUCUGCUCCUUAAAAUACAACAAACACUAGCUGCUGGUUACAAAAAGAAAUAGAAAUAUAAAAAUGGUUUUGGAGGUUCUUUCAUCCCAACCACUUUAAAAGUAUAUUGUGGUAGUAAAAUGCCAUUAAGCAUAUGGGGCAGAUUCUCUUUGUGACCUUGGUAUCUUUUCCGCUCAGUAGAAAAAUCUAGUUUCAGACUACUUAGUGCAGAGCCGGUCGGCACUGUGCGUUUUCCAAGGGCACAGAGCAAAGCCAUCCUGCCCUCGGCGCUCAGUCCUAGCCCUCUCUGACCCGCUCCCAGAGCGUGGGAGAGAGCCGGCAUGUUGCCAUGGGUGCUCAGCACCUAGCAGCAGAAGUCAAAACUUCUGCACUUCCCGCAGCAUAACAUCAGCGUAAGAAAGCGGACGUUUGGGUCUUCUUGCAAGGAAUUCACUAGAUAUGCAUAAUUAGCCUUUCUGUGACUUGGAAUUGCCAUGUGAAAGCCAGGAUCUGCAAGAAGAAAAACACAAGGAUUCAGUUUAAAGCAGUGAGAUUUCUCCUCAAAAUCUUAAGUUCUGGCUGGAGCACUAGCUCAGUGCCGUCGGGUUCCUCUUUCUCUUUUUGGGCUUCAGGUGGUGCUCAGGAGUUGCCAGGCUUUCUUUUUUUCUCUUUGGCUUUUGAGAAUUCCUGAUUAUCUCGCUUUAUUUUUGUUUCUCUCAUGUCUGAAACCACCCGAGAGUCCUCCUCCAUCAGGUCAGGCAAAUUCAAACCUCCCUGUUGUCUGCAGAGUCUUUGCAUUUCAUACUGGUGUUUUCCUCACCCAGGAACCUGCUCCGAAAUGCUUAAGGCUUCUGCGAGAUGUGCGCAGUGGGCACUCAGCUGCUUGCAAAAAAUUCACAAACUGUAGGUCCAAAGUGACUUGGAGUACAAGGACUUUUGGCCACGUAGACCCAUAAUCCAUAUAAUGCAUUUGGAAUAUGCAGCAGUGCUGGCUUUGCAAGGGUCACUAAAUUCAUUACAUUACUCAGGAUCCUUAGUUUAUUGAUCAUGUGAGGCUCAAUCUUGUGAAAGGAGUAAGCACUUGCAAGAACAGGUUUUAUUUUAGAAGCUGAUGUAUAAGCUGAUUGUACAUUGCCUGCUUUUUCUAGACUCGUUUGCGACAGUAAUUUAAGCACGUAUUUAACAUCAAGGAGCAAAUCUCUAUUUCCAGCCUUGAAGCUUUCCUCCGCUACGGGAACAGCCAAUCCACAGAAGUAACUUUCUCUUCAGUUUAAUCUUCAAAGUUUGGAAACAUAUUUAAUUCUACGUUACAAUUACGCCGUUCAUAUUUCAUGAAUUUUUAAGUUCAGGCUGCGAUUACAGACAGCACAAAUUGACACAACAGUGAAAUGGAAUGAAAAACAAGCAACAUACUGUGCUUUUAACUUAGAAGAUUGCAUUAUAGUUCCUUCAAGGACACUAAGAAGAGAUCUCUGCAACUGCUAUCAAUAAGUAUCUUUCACAAUCAGCACUUCUAAAGUUUCUAGAAUGGCUUAAAGCCUUGAUUCAGUUUAGAAAUGAGAGAAUGCAAAAAAGCAAGAGCAUAGCUUAAAGCUUAACUAUUCUUUCAUUUUGCUGCUUUGCAUUUCAGUAUUCAGCUUGAGGACCAGAAUUCUUCGAUCACUUUCCUGUUAGAGCUAGCCGCAAAUUUUUCAGCUAGACUUUUUCUUUGAGGAUGCUUGUGUUAAACCCGAAGUUCUUCACUGGAAAAAUGUCACUUUUGAUGACCUUUCCCAUUUCAAAAUUAUGUUUGGGGGGAAAAAAAACACAGUGUUUUUAUACCCUCUAAUUCUUCUAAAUGGAAAGUUUUUAUUUUUUCAAAUUGAAAGAGUUUUUCAAAGUUACUGAAAAGUCAAAAUUGGAAUAAAAUGUUUCCGUCAUCCAGUGAAAUAUAUGAGAUUCUUUCUCAGAAAACAGGGGAAGGAAGGAGCGUGCAUUUAUUACCAUUUUGACAACUGAAAAAGAGAAGAAAAUAUUUUUUAAAUAUUGACUUCUUGUGUGACCAGAAAAAAAAAUUUCCUGCUUAUUUCUCUGUAUUAUGCAAGAUACCUAUGUGGACCGUACUAUUACAGCACCUAUUCAUCUCAUAGUCCUUCAGAAAA